rnacentral:lncRNA from 1 species
GAGGAGGAGAGAGUACGAGGAAGAAGAAGAACAUGUGGACCAAAGAAUUUUGAUUGGUUAAGGUUAGGAUGUGGGCCAUGUAGGUAGUUGAAUUGUGGUUGGUUUUUAAUUGAGGAAUAAAUGGACAAAUGCUAGUUUAGGGAGUGCAAGGAUAAAGGGGUGGGAUGAAUAGGGUUAGGAUAAUAAGCUUGAGUUUAGGAAGGUAUGGGGUGUAUGGAGUUAAUCUCCAAGUACGGAUUCAAACCUCAACCAACUACCGUUCCUUCGGUCUCUUUUGAGUGCUCUAUUUUUCUGUUGCUAAAAAAAUGCAAUGUAUGUUAUUAACACGCUGGAUUUAAUACAUAGAUUUUAUAAAACAUUUACCAAAAUUCAAUAUUUUUAUCAACACUAAAACCUUUGCAUUAAUUUAUGUUAAACUCUCUUUUAUAGUAUAUGAGAAUCGUUCUAAUUUUUUUAUCAAUUAAUUAGUAAAACUUCAUAAUACUAUCUAAAUCAUUUAAAUAACCACUACAAAAUCGCUAUUUUCUUGGGAAACGAACACAACAAAGCUUCUAAACCUCUUUCAACAGCAUCAUAUAUUAGUGUAGGAUGAAACUAUGCAUUAAAACAAUAUUAUCAUAUUUUUUGAAAUUUUCUCAAAAUCUAUGUGUUAACUC